rnacentral:lncRNA from 1 species
CAGAAGACCUCAGUGCCUCCCUUCAACCUAAGAGAGCUGCUCCCCAAACAGCUGGGGCAGUACUUCCGCUACAAUGGCUCGCUCACAACUCCCCCUUGCUACCAGAGUGUGCUCUGGACAGUUUUUUAUAGAAGGUCCCAGAUUUCAAUGGAACAGGUAAGUGGUGGAGAAACGAGGUGAGGUGAGACACAGUUGUAACUUCAGACCCCUUCCCACUCCCCAAAGUAACACCUCUCCCACGCUUCUGCUCCUCAGCUGGAAAAGCUUCAGGGGACAUUGUUCUCCACAGAAGAGGAGCCCUCUAAGCUUCUGGUACAGAACUACCGAGCCCUUCAGCCUCUCAAUCAGCGCAUGGUCUUUGCUUCUUUCAUCCAAGCAGGAUCCUCGUAUACCACAGGAAGAAGAGGCUGGAAAACCGAAAGAGUGUGGUCUUCACCUCAGCACAAGCCACGACUGAGGCAUAAAUUCCUUCUCAGAUACCAUGGAUGUGGAUGACUUCCCUUCAUGCCUAUCAGGAAGCCUCUAAAAUGGGGUGUAGGAUCUGGCCAGAAACACUGUAGGAGUAGUAAGCAGAUGUCCUCCUUCCCCUGGACAUCUCCUAGAGAGGAAUGGACCCAGGCUGUCAUUCCAGGAAGAACUGCAGAGCCUUCAGCCUCUCCAAACAUGUAGGAGGAAAUGAGGAAAUCGCUGUGUUGU